ACUCCUACGGGAGGCAGCAGUGGGGAAUAUUGCACAAUGGGCGCAAGCCUGAUGCAGCCAUGCCGCGUGUGUGAAGAAGGCCUUCGGGUUGUAAAGCACUUUCUAGUUGUGAGGAAGGUGGUGUCGUUAAUAGCGGCAUCAUUUGACGUUAGCAACAGAAGAAGCACCGGCUAACUCCGUGCCAGCAGCCGCGGUAAUACGGAGGGUGCGAGCGUUAAUCGGAAUUACUGGGCGUAAAGCGCAUGCAGGUGGUUGUUAAGUCAGAUGUGAAAGCCCGGGGCUCAACCUCGGAACUGCAUUUGAAACUGGCAGACUAGAGUACUGGUAGAGGGGGUAGAAUUUCAGGUGUAGCGGUGAAAUGCGUAGAGAUCUGAAGGUAUACCGGUGGCGAAGGCGGCCCCUGGACAGAUACUGACACUCAGAUGCGAAAGCGUGGGAGCAAACAGGAUUAGAUACCCCUGGUAGCACAG
rnacentral:rRNA from 1 species